CCAUACCCCACACCGGGCCCACCGGUGACACGUGGAGAAUCGGGGUGUGACAGCCGUAAUGUGAAUAUGAGCAUAGCAAUACUACCAAUGUCAAAGGAGUUUAAUUGGAACAGUGCUACCGUGGGUCUAAUUCAAUCUUCUUUCUUCUGGGGCUAUUUGCUCACUCAGGUGGGCAGUUAGAGGAGGUGUGUUAGACCGCGAUUAACCGGGCUUUUAAGAAGAUGGAUGAGAUUGUUAGAAGUAUUAUUAAACUAUAGAUAUGUUUUAUAUUUAUUCGAACUUAUAUGUAGUUAUGAUAUGUAUUCGGAUGAUAACUUAUGUAUAUUUAGGAUGAUAAGCGGGUGAUGAUUUAAAAAAACAACUGCCGGAGCAGUUACCGCCAAAAUUAACCGCCAAAAUGAUGAUAUAUAUAGUUGAUUGCCGGCAAUU